UACGUAGGGUGCAAGCGUUGUCCGGAAUUAUUGGGCGUAAAGAGCUCGUAGGCGGUCUGUCACGUCGGCUGUGAAAACCCGGGGCUCAACCCCGGGCCUGCAGUCGAUACGGGCAGACUAGAGUGUGGUAGGGGAGACUGGAAUUCCUGGUGUAGCGGUGAAAUGCGCAGAUAUCAGGAGGAACACCGGUGGCGAAGGCGGGUCUCUGGGCCAUAACUGACGCUGAGAAGCGAAAGCAUGGGGAGCGAACAGG
rnacentral:rRNA from 1 species